UACGAAGGGGGCUAGCGUUGCUCGGAAUCACUGGGCGUAAAGGGUGCGUAGGCGGGUCUUUAAGUCAGGGGUGAAAUCCUGGAGCUCAACUCCAGAACUGCCUUUGAUACUGAGGAUCUUGAGUCCGGGAGAGGUGAGUGGAACUGCGAGUGUAGAGGUGAAAUUCGUAGAUAUUCGCAAGAACACCAGUGGCGAAGGCGGCUCACUGGCCCGGUACUGACGCUGAGGUGCGGAAAGCGUGGGGAGCAAACAGGG
rnacentral:rRNA from 1 species